rnacentral:rRNA from 1 species
UACGUAGGGGGCGAGCGUUGUCCGGAUUCAUUGGGCGUAAAGCGCUUUAAGGCGGUUCGGUAAGUCGGGUGUGAAACCUCCAGGCUCAACCUGGAGACGCCACUCGAUACUGCUGUGACUAGAGUUCGGUAGGGGAUCACGGAAUUCCUGGUGUAGCGGUGAAAUGCGCAGAUAUCAGGAGGAACACCGGUGGCGAAGGCGGUGAUCUGGGCCGACACUGACGCUGUAGAGCGAAAGCGUGGGGAGCGAACAGG